ACCGAGAUUCCCCCAGUAGCGGCGAGCGAACGGGGAGCAGCCCAGAGCCUGAAUCAGUGUGUGUGUUAGUGGAAGCGUCUGGAAAGGCGCGCGAUACAGGGUGACAGCCCCGUACACAAAAAUGCACAUGCUGUGAGCUCGAUGAGUAGGGCGGGACACGUGGUAUCCUGUCUGAAUAUGGGGGGACCAUCCUCCAAGGCUAAAUACUCCUGACUGACCGAUAGUGAACCAGUACCGUGAGGGAAAGGCGAAAAGAACCCCGGCGAGGGGAGUGAAAAAGAACCUGAAACCGUGUACGUACAAGCAGUGGGAGCACGCUUAGGCGUGUGACUGCGUACCUUUUGUAUAAUGGGUCAGCGACUUAUAUUCUGUAGCAAGGUUAACCGAAUAGGGGAGCCGAAGGGAAACCGAGUCUUAACUGGGCGUUAAGUUGCAGGGUAUAGACCCGAAACCCGGUGAUCUAGCCAUGGGCAGGUUGAAGGUUGGGUAACACUAACUGGAGGACCGAACCGACUAAUGUUGAAAAAUUAGCGGAUGACUUGUGGCUGGGGGUGAAAGGCCAAUCAAACCGGGAGAUAGCUGGUUCUCCCCGAAAGCUAUUUAGGUAGCGCCUCGUGAAUUCAUCUCCGGGGGUAGAGCACUGUUUCGGCAAGGGGGUCAUCCCGACUUACCAACCCGAUGCAAACUGCGAAUACCGGAGAAUGUUAUCACGGGAGACACACGGCGGGUGCUAACGUCCGUCGUGAAGAGGGAAACAACCCAGACCGCCAGCUAAGGUCCCAAAGUCAUGGUUAAGUGGGAAACGAUGUGGGAAGGCCCAGACAGCCAGGAUGUUGGCUUAGAAGCAGCCAUCAUUUAAAGAAAGCGUAAUAGCUCACUGGUCGAGUCGGCCUGCGCGGAAGAUGUAACGGGGCUAAACCAUGCACCGAAGCUGCGGCAGCGACGCUUAUGCGUUGUUGGGUAGGGGAGCGUUCUGUAAGCCUGUGAAGGUGUACUGUGAGGUAUGCUGGAGGUAUCAGAAGUGCGAAUGCUGACAUAAGUAACGAUAAAGCGGGUGAAAAGCCCGCUCGCCGGAAGACCAAGGGUUCCUGUCCAACGUUAAUCGGGGCAGGGUGAGUCGACCCCUAAGGCGAGGCCGAAAGGCGUAGUCGAUGGGAAACAGGUUAAUAUUCCUGUACUUGGUGUUACUGCGAAGGGGGGACGGAGAAGGCUAUGUUGGCCGGGCGACGGUUGUCCCGGUUUAAGCGUGUAGGCUGGUUUUCCAGGCAAAUCCGGAAAAUCAAGGCUGAGGCGUGAUGACGAGGCACUACGGUGCUGAAGCAACAAAUGCCCUGCUUCCAGGAAAAGCCUCUAAGCAUCAGGUAACAUCAAAUCGUACCCCAAACCGACACAGGUGGUCAGGUAGAGAAUACCAAGGCGCUUGAGAGAACUCGGGUGAAGGAACUAGGCAAAAUGGUGCCGUAACUUCGGGAGAAGGCACGCUGAUAUGUAGGUGAAGUCCCUCGCGGAUGGAGCUGAAAUCAGUCGAAGAUACCAGCUGGCUGCAACUGUUUAUUAAAAACACAGCACUGUGCAAACACGAAAGUGGACGUAUACGGUGUGACGCCUGCCCGGUGCCGGAAGGUUAAUUGAUGGGGUUAGCGCAAGCGAAGCUCUUGAUCGAAGCCCCGGUAAACGGCGGCCGUAACUAUAACGGUCCUAAGGUAGCGAAAUUCCUUGUCGGGUAAGUUCCGACCUGCACGAAUGGCGUAAUGAUGGCCAGGCUGUCUCCACCCGAGACUCAGUGAAAUUGAACUCGCUGUGAAGAUGCAGUGUACCCGCGGCAAGACGGAAAGACCCCGUGAACCUUUACUAUAGCUUGACACUGAACAUUGAGCCUUGAUGUGUAGGAUAGGUGGGAGGCUUUGAAGUGUGGACGCCAGUCUGCAUGGAGCCGACCUUGAAAUACCACCCUUUAAUGUUUGAUGUUCUAACGUGGACCCGUAAUCCGGGUUGCGGACAGUGUCUGGUGGGUAGUUUGACUGGGGCGGUCUCCUCCUAAAGAGUAACGGAGGAGCACGAAGGUUGGCUAAUCCUGGUCGGACAUCAGGAGGUUAGUGCAAUGGCAUAAGCCAGCUUGACUGCGAGCGUGACGGCGCGAGCAGGUGCGAAAGCAGGUCAUAGUGAUCCGGUGGUUCUGAAUGGAAGGGCCAUCGCUCAACGGAUAAAAGGUACUCCGGGGAUAACAGGCUGAUACCGCCCAAGAGUUCAUAUCGACGGCGGUGUUUGGCACCUCGAUGUCGGCUCAUCACAUCCUGGGGCUGAAGUAGGUCCCAAGGGUAUGGCUGUUCGCCAUUUAAAGUGGUACGCGAGCUGGGUUUAGAACGUCGUGAGACAGUUCGGUCCCUA
rnacentral:rRNA from 1 species